rnacentral:rRNA from 1 species
GACGAACGCUGGCGGCGUGCUUAACACAUGCAAGUCGAACGGUAAGGCCCUUCGGGGUACACGAGUGGCGAACGGGUGAGUAACACGUGGGUGAUCUGCCCUGCACUUCGGGAUAAGCCUGGGAAACUGGGUCUAAUACCGGAUAGGACUCCUGGCUUCAUGGUUGGGGGUGGAAAGCUUUUGCGGUGUGGGAUGGGCCCGCGGCCUAUCAGCUUGUUGGUGGGGUAAUGGCCUACCAAGGCGACGACGGGUAGCCGGCCUGAGAGGGUGACCGGUCGCAGUGGGACUGAGAUACGGCCCAGACGCCUACGGGAGGCAGCAGUGGGGAAUAUUGCACAAUGGGCGCAAGCCUGAUGCAGCGACGCCGCGUGAGGGAUGACGGCCUUCGGGUUGUAAACCUCUUUCAGCUAUGACGAAGCGCAAGUGACGGUAGUAGCAGAAGAAGGACCGGCCAACUACGUGCCAGCAGCCGCGGUAA